GACGAACGCUGGCGGCGUGCUUAACACAUGCAAGUCGAACGAAAAGGCCCUGCUUUUGUGGGGUGCUCGAGUGGCGAAGGGGUGAGUAACACGUGAGUAACCUACACUUGACUUUGGGGUAACUUAAGGAAACUGGAGCUAAUACCGGCUAGGAGCUCCUGCUUCUUGGUGGGGGCUGGAUGGUUUCGGCGGUUGGGGAUGGACUCGCGGCCUAUCGGCUUGUUGGUGGGGUAGUGGCUUACCAAGGCUAGGACGGGUAGCCGGCCUGCGAGGAGGAGCGGCCACAUCGCGACUGAGAUGAGGCCCAGACUCGAACGGGAGGCAGCGGUGGGGAAGAUUGCACAAUGGGCGGAAGCCUGAUGCAGCACCGCAGCGUGCGGUAUGACGGGCUGCGGGUUGUAAACUGCUUUCGUCUGUGACGAAGCGUGAGUGACGGUAACGGGUAAAUAAGCACCGGCUAACUACGUG
rnacentral:rRNA from 1 species